rnacentral:rRNA from 1 species
GUCCACGCCUAACGAUGCGAACUGGACGUUGGGAUCAAUUGAGAUUUCAGUGUCGAAGCUAACGCGUUAAGUUCGCCGCCUGGGAGUACGGUCGCAAGACUGAACUCAAAGGAAUUGACGGGCCCGCACAAGCGGUGGAGUAUGUGGUUUAAUUCGAUGCAACGCGCAGAACCUUACCUGGUCUUGACAUCCACGGAAGCCUUCAGAGAUGAGGGUGUGCCUUCGGGAACCGUGAGACAGGUGCUGCAUGGCUGUCGU